GAGCAUGUGGUUUAAUUCGAAGCAACGCGAAGAACCUUACCUGGCCUUGACAUGUCCGGAAUCUUGCAGAGAUGCGAGAGUGCCUUCGGGAAUCGGAACACAGGUGCUGCAUGGCUGUCGUCAGCUCGUGUCGUGAGAUGUUGGGUUAAGUCCCGUAACGAGCGCAACCCUUGUCCUUAGUUACCAGCACCUCGGGUGGGCACUCUAAGGAGACUGCCGGUGACAAACCGGAGGAAGGUGGGGAUGACGUCAAGUCAUUAUGGCCCUUACGGCCAGGGCUACACACGUGCUACAAUGGUCGGUACAGAGGGUUGCCAAGCCGCGAGGUGGAGCUAAUCCCAUAAAACCGAUCGUAGUCCGGAUCGCAGUCUGCAACUCGACUGCGUGAAGUCGGAAUCGCUAGUAAUCGUGAAUCAGAAUGUCACGGUGAAUACGUUCCCGGGCCUUGUACACACCGCCCGUCACACCAUGGGAGUGGGUUGCUCCAGAAGUAGCUAGUCUAACCGCAAGGGGGACGGUUACCACGGAGUGAUUCAUGACUGGGGUGAAGUCGUAACAAGGUAGCCGUAGGGGAACCUGCGGCUGGAUCACCUCCUUAAGCUUGGAUCCCGGG
rnacentral:rRNA from 1 species